CAAUAGCGUAUAUUCAAGUUGUUGCGGUUAAAAAGCUCGUAGUUGGGAUUUCUGCUGAGGACGACCGGUCCGCCCUCUGGGUGGGUAUCUGGCUUGGCCUUGGACAUCUUCUUGGAGAACGUAGCUGCACUUGACUGUGUGGUGCGGUAUCCAGGACUUUUACUUUGAGGAAAUUAGAGUGUUUCGAGCAGGCACACGCCUUGAAUACAUUAGCAUGGAAUAAUAAGAUAGGACCUUGGUUCUAUUUUGUUGGUUUCGUUAGCUGAGGUAAUGAUUAAUAGGGAUAGUUGGGGGCAUUCGUAUUUAAUUGUCAGAGGUGGAAUUCUUGGAUUUGUUAAAGACGGACUACUGCGAAAGCAUUUGCCAAGGAUGUUUUUCAUUGAUCAAGAACGAAAGUUAGGGGAUCGAAGACGAUCAGAU
rnacentral:rRNA from 1 species